AAGCAGCGAUGUUUUCUUAGCGGCGAACGGGUGAGUAACGCGUUGGUGACCUGCCCCGGAGAGUGGGAUAACAGUUCGAAAGGACUCUUAAUACCGCAUGGGGUCGAGAGGAUUAGAGGCCUCUUGAUCAAAGGAGCAAUUCGCUCCGGGAGGGACCUGCGUCCCAUCAGCUAGUUGGCAGGGUAACGGCCUACCAAGGCGGGGAAGGGUAGGGGGCCUGAGAGGGUGGUCCCCCACACGGGCACUAUUAGACGGGCCCGAGACAUACGGGAGGCAGUUUUCUCAUCUGCAGGUAAACUC
rnacentral:sRNA from 1 species